GAUGAACGCUGGCGGCGUGCCUAAUACAUGCAAGUCGAGCGAACAGACGAGGAGCUCGCUCCUCUGACGUUAGCGGCGGACGGGUGAGUAACACGUGGAUAACCUACCUAUAAGACUGGGAUAACUUCGGGAAACCGGAGCUAAUACCGGAUAACAUGUUGAACCGCAUGGUUCAACAGUGAAAGACGGUCUUGCUGUCACUUAUAGAUGGAUCCGCGCCGCAUUAGCUAGUUGGUAAGGUAACGGCUUACCAAGGCAACGAUGCGUAGCCGACCUGAGAGGGUGAUCGGCCACACGGGAACUGAGACACGGUCCAGACUCCUACGGGAGGCAGCAGUAGGGAAUCUGCCGCAAUGGGCGAAAGCCUGACGGAGCAACGCCGCGUGAGUGAAGAAGGUCUUCGGAUCGUAAAACUCUGUUAUUAGGGAAGAACAAAUGUGUAAGUAAAUAUGCACGUCUUGACGGUACCUAAUCAGAAAGCAACGGCUAACUACGUG
rnacentral:rRNA from 1 species